rnacentral:rRNA from 1 species
UACGUAGGCAGCAAGCGUUGUUCGGAGUUACUGGGCGUAAAGAGUGCGUAGGCGGUGCUCUAAGUUUGGUGUGAAAUCUCCCGGCUCAACUGGGAGGGUGCGCCGAAAACUGGAGUGCUUGAGUAUGGGAGAGGUAAGCGGAAUUCCUGGUGUAGCGGUGAAAUGCGCAGAUAUCAGGAGGAACACCGAUUGCGAAGGCAGCUCGCUGGGACGUAACUGACGCUGAGACGCGAAAGCGUGGGGAGCAAACAGG